UACGGAGGAUGCGAGCGUUAUCCGGAUUUAUUGGGUUUAAAGGGUGCGUAGGCGGGCUGUUAAGUCAGUGGUCAAAUGUCGGGGCUCAACCCCGGCCUGCCGUUGAAACUGGCGGCCUCGAGUGGGCGAGAAGUAUGCGGAAUGCGUGGUGUAGCGGUGAAAUGCAUAGAUAUCACGCAGAACUCCGAUUGCGAAGGCAGCAUACCGGCGCCCGACUGACGCUGAGGCACGAAAGCGUGGGUAUCGAACAGG
rnacentral:rRNA from 1 species